AUUGAACGCUGGCGGCAUGCCUUACACAUGCAAGUCGAACGGCAGCAUAGAGAGCUUGCUCUCUGAUGGCGAGUGGCGAACGGGUGAGUAAAGCAUCGGAACGUACCGUGUAGUGGGGGAUAACGUAGCGAAAGUUACGCUAAUACCGCAUACGCACUGAGGUGGAAAGCAGGGGAUCGCAAGACCUUGCGCUAUACGAGCGGCCGAUGUCAGAUUAUCUAGUUGGUAGGGUAAAGGCCUACCAAUGCGACGAUCUGUAGCGGGUCUGAGAGGAUGCGCCGCCACACUGAGACUGAGACACGGACCAGAUUCCUACGGGAGGCAGCAGUGGGGAAUUUUGGACAAUGGGGGCAACCCUGAUCCAGCCAUGCCGCGUGAGUGAAGAAGGCCUUCGGGUUGUAAAGCUCUUUCGGCCGGGAAGAAAUCGCACAGGCUAAUACUCUGUGUGGAUGACGGUACCGGCAUAAGAAGCACCGGCUAACUACCUGCCAGCCGCCGCGGUAA
rnacentral:rRNA from 1 species